rnacentral:rRNA from 1 species
GACGAACGCUGGCGGCGUGCUUAACACAUGCAAGUCGAACGAAAAGAGGGAAAGAGCUUGCUCUUUCCGGAAUUGAGUGGCAAACGGGUGAGUAACACGUAAACAACCUGCCUUCAGGAUGGGGACAACAGACGGAAACGACUGCUAAUACCGAAUAAGUUCCAAGGGCCGCAUGGCCCAUGGAAGAAAAGGUGGCCUCUACCUGUAAGCUAUCGCCUGAAGAGGGGUUUGCGUCUGAUUAGCUGGUUGGAGGGGUAACGGCCCACCAAGGCGACGAUCAGUAGCCGGUCUGAGAGGAUGAACGGCCACACUGGAAUUGAGACACGGUCCAGACUCCUACGGGAGGCAGCAGUGGGGAAUCUUCCGCAAUGGGCGAAAGCCUGACGGAGCAACGCCGCGUGAGUGAUGACGGCCUUCGGGUUGUAAAACUCUGUGAUCCGGGGCGAAAAGGCAGAGUGCGAAGAACAAACUGCAUUGACGGUACCGGAAAAGCAAGCCACGGCUAACUACGUG